rnacentral:rRNA from 1 species
GUUAGGAAUCUUCCACAAUGGGCGAAAGCCUGAUGGAGCGACGCCGCGUGAGGGAUGAAGGCCUUAGGGUUGUAAACCUCUAAAAGAGGGACGAUAAUGACGGUACCUCUUGAAUAGCACCGGCUAACUCCGUGCCAGCAGCCGCGGUAAUACGGAGGGUGCAAGCGUUAUCCGGAAUCACUGGGCGUAAAGGGCGCGUAGGCGGUCUGUUAAGUCCGAUGUUAAAUCCCGGGGCUCAACCCCGGAUAAGCGUUGGAUACUGGCAGGCUAGACGGUUGGAGAGGCGAGUGGAAUUACCAGUGUAGCGGUGGAAUGCGUAGAUACUGGUAGGAACACCCAUUGCGAAGGCAGCUCGCUGGACAACACGUGACGCUGAGGCGCGAAAGUGUGGGGAGCAAACC